UGUGAAUCUAUUCCUGUGUUGCAGAUGUGAAAAUGAAAGUUUAAAUUUUGGCAUAUUAAAUUUAGGAAUAUGUUAGGAUCCAAUAUUUUUACUGAAAAAAAAAACUGAGAAUU